rnacentral:rRNA from 1 species
AGCAGCCGCGGUAAUUCCAGCUCCAAUAGCGUAUAUUAAAGUUGUUGCAGUUAAAAAGCUCGUAGUUGAAUUUCGGGAUUAGUACGUUGGUCGUGCCUUAGGUACGUACUGGUGUUACUGAUUCCUACCUUCUGACGAACCAUCAUGUCAUUAAUUUGGUGUGGCGGGGAAUCAGGACUAUUACUUUGAAAAAUUAGAGUGUUUAAAGCAGGCUCGCGCUUGAAUACAUUAGCAUGGAAUAAUGAAAUAGGACGUUGACCCUAUUUUGUUGGUUUCUAGGAUUGACGUAAUGAUUAAUAGGGAUAGUUGGGGGCAUUAGUAUUCAAUUGUCAGAGGUGAAAUUCUUGGAUUUAUUGAAGGCUAACUACUGCGAAAGCAUUUGCCAAGGGUGUUUUCAUUAAUCAAGAACGAAAGUUGGGGGAUCGAAGACGAUCAGAUACCGUCGUAGUCUUAACCAUAAACUAUGCCGACUAGGGAUCGGAUGAUGUUAUUUUUAAUGACUCAUUC